AGAUUUGCUUAGUGGCAGUAUCAUAGCCAAAGGAAUGAUUAUUGCUAAUUGAAAACUUUUCCCAAUAUCCUGCCAUGAUGACUUGAAAUAUAGUCAGCAUUGGCAAUUUUGAGUCUCUAUGGAA
ensembl:snRNA U4 U4 spliceosomal RNA